rnacentral:SRP_RNA from 1 species
CUGGGGCAAGGCAUGCCUGUAGACCCAGCUACUUGGGAGGCUGAAGCAGAAAGGUUGCUUGAGUCCAGGAGUUUGGGGAUGUCUUGUGCUAUGUUGAUCGGUGUCCCCACUAAGUUUGGCACCACUAUGGUGACCUCCCAGGAUCAGGAGAUCACCAGGUUGCCUAAGGAGGGAAGAACUGGCUUAGAUUGGAAACAGAGUAGGCCAAAACUCCCAUGCUAAUUAGUAGUGGGAUUGUGCCUGUAAUUAGCCACUGUGCUCCAGCCUGGGCAACAUAGCAAGACCAUGUCUU